UCACUGGCUAACUCUGUGCCAGCAGCCGCGGUAAUACAGAGAGUGCGAGCGUUAAUCGGAAUCACUGGGCGUAAAGAGCGCGUAGGUGGAUAUUUAAGUCGGAUGUGAAAGCCCUAGGCUUAACCUAGGAACUGCACUCGAUACUGAAUAUCUCGAGUAUGGUAGAGGGAAGUGGAAUUUUCGGUGUAGCGGUGAAAUGCGUAGAUAUCGGAAAGAACACCAGUGGCGAAGGCGGCUUCCUGGACCAAUACUGACACUGAGGUGCGAAAGCGUGGGGAGCAAACAGGAUUAGAGACCCUGGU
rnacentral:rRNA from 1 species